rnacentral:lncRNA from 1 species
AUAUAGGUUGGACAUGAACCUAGUGUCAAAGAACAUAGGUUGGACAUCAAGUGGCAUUAAACCUAGUGUUGUGAACCUAGGAUGAAUACGAGUGGCAUUAACCUAGUGUCGUGAACAUAGGUUGAAUACAUGUGGCAUUGGACCUAGUGUUAAAAAACAUAGGUUAAGAAGUAAACCUAGAGUUAAGUGAACCUAGGUCAUGGCAUUAGUGGUAUUAAAC